GGGGCGGACGGUACGUUUACUUUGAACAAAUUUGAGUGCUCAAAGCAGGCCUGUGCCUGAAAAUUCUUGCAUGGAAUAAUGGAAUAGGACUUCGGUUCUAUUUUGUUGGUUUUCGGAUCCGAAGUAAUGGUUAAGAGGGACAGACGGGGGCAUUUGUAUGGCGGUGUUAGAGGUGAAAUUCUUGGAUCGCCGCCAGACAAACUACAGCGAAAGCAUUUGCCAAGGAUGUUUUCAUUGAUCUGGAGCGAAAGUCAGAGGUUCGAAGACGAUCAGAUACCGUCCUAGUUCUGACCAUAAACGAUGCCAACUGACGAUCCGUGGGUGAUCUUUUAAUGACCCUGCGGGCAGUCCCCGGGAAACCUUUAAGUCUUUGGGCUCCGGGGGAAGUAUGGUUGCAAAGCUGAAACUUAAAGGAAUUGACGGAAGGGCACCACCAGGAGUGGAGCCUGCGGCUUAAUUCGACUCAACACGGGAAAACUCACCCGGCCCGGACACUGUGAGGAUUGACAGAUUGAUAGCUCUUUCUUGAUUCGGUGGUUGGUGGUGCAUGGCCGUUCUUAGUUGGUGGAGCGAUUUGUCUGGUUAAUUCCGAUAACGAACGAGACUUUGGCCUGCUAAAUAGUAUACCUGUCCUCUGUGCUCGUGCAGGUGGCGGUUCUCUCUGCCCUUUCGGGGGUGGGUGAGGCUGUUUACCGGCGGGUACUGCGCAGGCAUUUACUUCUUAGAGGGACAAGCGACGCGAAAGUCGCACGAAAAUGAGCAAUAACAGGUCUGUGAUGCCCUUAGAUGUCCGGGGCCGCACGUGCGCUACAAUGACGGUUUCAGCGAGUUUUGAAUCCUGGCCCGAAAGGGUUGGGCAAACUGAAUCAUCACCGUCGUGACUGGGAUCGGGGCUUGCAAUUAUUCCCCGUGAACGAGGAAUUCCUGGUAAGUGCAAGUCAUAAGCUUGCGCUGAUUACGUCCCUGCCCUUUGUACACACCGCCCGUCGCUACUACCGAUUGAAUGGUUUAGCAAGGUCAUCGGAUCGGUGCCAUUGUAGUUGUUUCGGCAACUCGACCGG
rnacentral:rRNA from 1 species